CAGCAUAUAGUUUAUAAAAAAUAUUGUAUUUGGGUUACUAAGAUUUUUGCUGA
rnacentral:tRNA from 1 species